rnacentral:lncRNA from 1 species
CGACCGCGGACGAGACCAAGUCGGAGCUCGUACUCUGUACUCUGGCGGGGGCGGGGCAGGGCCUCUGCGGGGCGGGGCCGCGGUAUGCUGCUAGCUGUUACUCCCGCCUUCCCCGCAGCCCUGUGAAUGCUCAGCCUUGUGAAUGCUCAUCCCGCCGCUGUUCGCUCUCCCGCGGUUGCUGCUUGCAUAGGGUUUCAGAUCCGGAAAUUUGAGGAUGCGAAACGAACUGCGGCCCCCAACUGUUAUGCAUAUUGAAUAAAGGGACAGAACAGGGAUGAGGUGCCCUCCAAUGCAUACUUUGCAAAUGUGGUGAGGAACAUGGGAUGUGGCAUCUGAAUUGCCUGAGUCCAAAUCGUGGACCCAAUGCUUCCUGGCUGUGUAAUUUGGACAAGUGACUGAACCUUCUGAGCCUCGGUUUCUCUCAUCUGUAAACUGGGGACAAUAAUGGUGGUUGUGAGAAGUACAGUAUGAUGUGCCUGGCAGAGGGAGAGAGCAGUUGUGGGUUUUGUUGUUGUUUUUAACGAGUCCCUGAUAGCCACAUAUCCCGUUAGGGAGAUGAGCCAGCUAUUGAGGGUUCUGUGAGAACUCAUAGCAACACCACCCUAAUCAGAGGAAAGGGGAAGGAGAAAGGGAAACAAGAUCCUUGGGCUGAUCAGAGGCAGAGGUGGCAAUGGCACAACACCUAUUGGGGCCCAAGGUGGGCAGGGGCCACACCACGAAGGCUGUGGUUGGGAAUCAAGUUUAGCCCAUAAAGCAGUAGGCAAUCAAAUGAUCAAAUUUAUGCUUUCCUCUAUUCAAGCCAUUCUCCCUUAUGCCUGAGAUCUCUCUCUGGAAUUCCAAACCGAUCUAGAUCUUUCCAAGCAUCACAAUGGCCAUUUCAGUGGCAGACAUUUCUGGGGUUCAAAUAUCUUGUUAUCUAUCCUUUAUUAGCUUUGUUUAUACUGUGAUUGGGGGAAAGGGGACGUGUCGGUCUUUACAUGAUUAAAAUUACUUAAAAUGACUUUUAUACAUCAGUAUGAAUGUUAUAUUGUUUUAAAUAAUCAGCAGAAAAAUCUGACUGGGGAUGUUUUAUUUU